rnacentral:rRNA from 1 species
UAAUCAAAAAUAUCUUUCUGUCGGUAGCAGGACGUUCGAGAAUUAAAACAGUUUGAAUUCAAACUGUUUUUAAAGAAAUGGAAACAAAAAAUCGAAUUGAGAUUGCUGACAUUAGUAACAUUAAAUAUUUUAAAUAUGGCCGAAAGUCCAAGGGUUUAUCAAGUGAAUCGGUUAUGAA